CAGCUCCAAUAGCGUAUAUUAAAGUUGUUGCAGUUAAAAAAGCUCGUAGUUGGAUUUCUGGUGGAAGUGACCGGUCUGUCCUAGUGGAUGUGAACUUGUGUCUACUUUUGCCAUCCUUGGGGGAGAGCGUGCCUGGCAUUAGGUUGUCGGGUUCGGGAUCCCCAUCCUUUACUGGUGAAAAAAUUAGAGUGUUUAAAAGC
rnacentral:rRNA from 1 species